AUUAUAGGCAGCUUGGACUGACAUUACAAGUCCUGUACUAACUAAUACUGAACAAUGGAGCUUCUGACUGUCUGGAGUUUAGUUAUCAUGGUGAUGUCCAUACACAGUGUUUGCUGUGAUGAGAUGGAUCAGUCUCCUUCUCAGGUGAAAAGACCUGGAGACAAGUUUAAAUUGUCAUGUAAAAUCUCUGGGUUUGAUAUGACAGACUACUAUAUGACCUGGAUAAGACAGAAACCAGGCAAAGCUCUGGAGUGGAUUGGGGUUAUUAACUCUGGUUCAACAGAUGCUCCAGGCUACUCAGAGUCCCUGAAAGGCCAGUUCAGCCUGACUGAGGACGUCUCUACAAGCACACAGUUCUUAGAGGCCAAGAGUCUGAGUUCAGAGGACUCUGCUGUUUAUUAUUGUGCUCGACAGGCACACUGACUGAAGCUGUUGAAGCAGCUGUACAAAAACAACCCUAACAAAAAGGCUAGCUGGUGUACUACUUCCUCUCUUUGUUUCACACUAUAAUAAUACUGAGUAUCAUUACUGUAAAUAAAACAUUUGCAAACAACUGUUACAAACUGACAAUGGCACAAACAUGUAAGAUGAAAUCAACAACUGAUAGGUGAAUAUUAUAAUGUAAGAAUCUGUAGUAAUGCUAUACUAUAGUGUCUACCAUGGUUUAUGUUUCUUACACCUCACUGAGAACAGACAGAGUCAUAUUGAAUCCCUAUGGAGAUGUGAAGGAGGUGUUUUUGUACUGGGGUACAUCUAACAUUUUACAUUUGUAUUUUUUAUUCAGAAAUGAUUACUUGUGGGUUACCUUCAUGUGUGUGCGAAAUAUUACUGUUCUCAGAUUUAUUUAUUUUAUUUACAUUUUAGAUG